GACGAACGCUGGCGGCGUGCUUAAUACAUGCAAGUCAACUUGACUUUAGAUAGCAAUAUCGAAAAGUAGGGUGGCGCACGGGUGCGUAACGCGUAGGUAAUCUGCCCUGAGGUCUGACAUAACCCGUCGAAAGGCGGGCUAACAUCAGAUGAUAUAUAAUCACGACAUCGUGGGAAAUAUCAAAUACUUCGGAGCCUUGGGAUGAGCCUGCGUCUGAUUAGGUAGUUGGCGGAGUAAUAGCCCACCAAGCCUACGAUCAGUAGCUGGUCUGAGAGGAUGAUCAGCCACACUGGAACUGAGACACGGUCCAGACUCCUACGGGAGGGCAGCAGUAAGGAAUA
rnacentral:rRNA from 1 species